rnacentral:rRNA from 1 species
GUGUCAGCAGCCGCGGUAACACGUAGGGGCCAAGCGUUGUCCGGAUUUAUUGGGCGUAAAGAGCUCGUAGGCGGUUCAGUCAGUUGGGUGUGAAAACUCCGGGCUUAACUCGGAGAGGCCACCCAAUACUGCUGUGACUUGAGUCCGGUAGGGGAGUGGGGAAUUCCUGGUGUAGCGGUGAAAUGCGCAGAUAUCAGGAGGAACACCGGUGGCGAAGGCGCCACUCUGGGCCGGUACUGACGCUGAGGAGCGAAAGCGUGGGGAGCAAACAGGAUUAGAUACCCUGGUAGUCC